AUGCCAAACACCUGUGAUGUUGGGCACUCUCAACGACGUAUCUGUGAUGUUGGGCACUCUCAACGACGUGUCUGUGAUGUUGGGCAGUCUCAAGGACGCUUGUAUGCCUGGUGGAUAGAUAAUUCUCGUGAUUGCCAACUCUAUAUUUGGGUCCUUGAGGAUUAUGAUACUGGAAAGUGGACCCUAAAGCACACUGUUAACGUUUUGGAGCUGUUUGGAAGGAAUUGCCGUAAAGAUGGAGAUUCCUAUGUGAUGUUUGCAAUUCAUCCGGAUUGCAACAACAUUUUUCUUACUGACAAGAAGAACAUGACAUUGUCGUAUGACAUGGAUAAUCAGAAAGUGCAUGUUAUCUGCACUGAAGGCAUGAAGGGUCUGCCUUAUACUCCCUGUUUUGCGGAAUUGCCCUCAGCUGGUCACUGA
rnacentral:rRNA from 1 species